UACGUAGGUGGCAAGCGUUGUUCGGAAUUACUGGGCGUAAAGCGCGCGUAGGCGGCUCUUCAAGUCAGGCGUGAAAGCCCCGGGCUUAACUCGGGAACUGCGCUUGAUACUGUCGAGCUAGAGUGUGGAAGGGGCGAUUGGAAUUCCGUGUGUAGCGGUGAAAUGCGUAGAUAUACGGAGGAACACCAGAGGCGAAGGCAGAUCGCUGGGCCAACACUGACGCUGAUGUGCGAAAGCUAGGGGAGCAAACGGG
rnacentral:rRNA from 1 species